rnacentral:rRNA from 1 species
GGACCCGCACAAGCAGUGGAGUAUGUGGUUUAAUUCGAAGCAACGCGAAGAACCUUACCAGGUCUUGACAUCCCUCUGAGCAUCUAAGAGAUUAGGUGGGCCUUCGGGACAGAGGAGACAGGUGGUGCAUGGUUGUCGUCAGCUCGUGUCGUGAGAUGUUGGGUUAAGUCCCGCAACGAGCGCAACCCUUAUGCUUAGUUGCCAGCACAUUAUGGUGGGCACUCUAAGCAGACUGCCGGUGACAAACCGGAGGAAGGUGGGGAUGACGUCAAAUCAUCAUGCCCCUUAUGACCUGGGCUACACACGUACUACAAUGGCCGGUACAACGGGCUGCGAAAUCGCGAGAUGGAGCCAAUCCCAACAAAGCCGGUCUCAGUUCGGAUUGCAGGCUGCAACCCGCCUGCAUGAAGUCGGAAUUGCUAGUAAUCGCGGAUCAGCAUGCCGCGGUGAAUACGUUCCCGGGUCUUGUACACACCGCCCGUCACACCACGAGAGUUUACAACACCCGAAGUCGGUGGGGUAACCCGCAAGGGAGCCAGCCGCCGAAGGUGGGGUAGAUGAUUGGGGUG